CGGGUAGCUGGUCUGAGAGGACGACCAGCCACACUGGAACUGAGACACGGUCCAGACGCCUACGGGUGGCAGCAGUCGAGAAUUUUUCUCAAUGGGGGCAACCCUGAAGGAGCGACGCCGCGUGGAGGAUGAAGGUCUUCGGAUUGUAAACUCCUGUCAUUUGGGAACAAAUACCUGAUUUAACUGAUUAGGAACUGAUAGUACCAGAAGAGGAAGAGACGGCUAACUCUGUGCCAGCAGCCGCGGUAAUACAGAGGUCUCAACCGUUGUUCGGAUUCAUUGGGCGUAAAGGGUGCGUAGGCGGUCGCGCAAGUCGGAUGUGAAAUCUUAGGGCUCAACCCUGAAACUGCAUUCGAUACUGCGUGGCUCGAGUACUGGAGAGGAGACUGGAAUUUACGGUGUAGCAGUGAAAUGCGUAGAUAUCGUAAGGAAGACCAGUGGCGAAGGCGAGUCUCUGGACAGUUACUGACGCUGAGGCACGAAGGCCAGGGGAGCAAACGGGAUUAGAUACCCCGGUAGUCCUGGCAGUAAACGGUGUACGUUUGGUGUAGGCGGAUUCGACCCCGCCUGUGCCGGAGCUAACGCGUUAAACGUACCGCCUGGGAAGUACGGUCGCAAGAUUAAAACUCAAAGAAAUUGACGGGGGCCCGCACAAGCGGUGGAGUAUGUGGCUUAAUUCGAUGCUACGCGAAGAACCUUACCAGGGUUUGACAUGUAUCUCUAAGUCGGUGAAAGCUGGCGAGUUGUAGCAAUACAACAAUUUACACAGGUGCUGCAUGGCUGUCGUCAGCUCGUGUCGUGAGAUGUUGGGUUAAGUCCCGCAACGAGCGCAACCCUUACGUCCUGUUGCCACUCCUUUAUUGGAAGCACUCUGGACAGACUGCCCUGUGAAACGGGGAGGAAGGUGAGGAUGACGUCAAGUCAGCAUGGCCCUUACACCCUGGGCUGCACACGUACUACAAUGCUCAGUACAAUAUGAGCCGAAACCGCGAGGUGGAGGAAAUCGAUAAAACUGAGCCCAAUUCGGAUCGCAGGCUGCAACUCGCCUGCGUGAAGCCGGAAUCGCUAGUAAUGCCGUAUCAGCUACGACGGCGUGAAUACGUUCCCGGGCCUUGUACACACCGCCCGUCACAUCAUGGGAGUCGUUUGCACCCGAAGUACACCACUGGUGUCCUACGGUAUGAGCGGUAACUGGGAUGAAGUCGUAACAAGGUA
rnacentral:rRNA from 1 species